UAGACCACAUUAAGACGCUCUGUACGUUAGACCUUCAGACCUAGGCUGGGCGGUCCGCUAAACGGCGUGUACUGUCUGGCUGGGCCUUACCUCUAGGUGAGCCGGCGUGCCCUUUAUUGGUGUGCGUUGGGGAACCAGGACUUUUACCUUGAGAAAAUUAGAGUGUUCAAAGCAGGCCUGUGCCUGAAUACAUUAGCAUGGAAUAAUAAAAUAGGACGUGCGGUUCUAUUUUGUUGGUUUCUAGAGUCGCCGUAAUGAUUAAUAGGGAUAGUUGGGGGCAUUGGUAUUGAGUCGCUAGAGGUGAAAUUCUUGGAUUGACUCAUGACAAACUACUGAGAAAGCCUUUGCCAAGGAUGUUGUCUUUGAAAAUGAACGAAGGUUUGGGGGUGAUGAUUGANAAUAUACGCCGUUCGUUGUGGAAAGGACUUGGCCNACGGGGAGGUGGGCAAUGUUUUAUAUGCCCAGGAUCAUUCCACAGGCNGCUCAGUAAGUCGUUUGAC
rnacentral:rRNA from 1 species